rnacentral:rRNA from 1 species
GACGAACGCUGGCGGCGUGCUUAACACAUGCAAGUCGAACGGAAAGGCCCUUCGGGUGCUCGAGUGGCGAACGGGUGAGUAACACGUGGGUGAUCUGCCCUGCACUUUGGGAUAAGCCUGGGAAACUGGGUCUAAUACCGAAUAUGAUCAUCGGCUUCAUGGUCGGUGGUGGAAAGCUUUUGCGGUGUGGGAUGGGCCCGCGGCCUAUCAGCUUGUUGGUGGGGUAAUGGCCUACCAAGGCGACGACGGGUAGCCGGCCUGAGAGGGUGACCGGCCACACUGGGACUGAGAUACGGCCCAGACUCCUACGGGAGGCAGCAGUGGGGAAUAUUGCACAAUGGGCGCAAGCCUGAUGCAGCGACGCCGCGUGAGGGAUGACGGCCUUCGGGUUGUAAACCUCUUUCAGCACAGACGAAGCGCAAGUGACGGUAUGUGCAGAAGAAGGACCGGCCAACUACGUGCCAGCCGCCGCGGUAA